AUUGAACGCUGGCGGCAGGCCUAACACAUGCAAGUCGAACGAGUGGCGGACGGGUGAGUAAUGCCUGGGAAUCUGGCUGAUGGAGGGGGAUAACUACUGGAAACGGUAGCUAAUACCGCAUACCAUCGGAUGUGCCCAGAUGGGAUUAGCUUGUUGGUGUGGUAACGGCUCACCAAGGCGACGAUCCCUAGCUGGUCUGAGAGGAUGACCAGCCACACUGGGACUGAGAAACGGUCCAGACUCCUACGGGAGGCAGCAGUGGGGAAUAUUGCGCAAUGGGGGCAAGCCUGAUGCAGCCAUGCCGCGUGAAUGAAGAAGGCCUUAGGGUUGUAAAGUACUUUCAGCGGGGAGGCGUUACCGACAGAAGAAGCACCGGCUAACUCCGUGCCAGCAGCCGCGGUAAUAC
rnacentral:rRNA from 1 species